CCAAUAGCGUAUAUUAAAGUUGUUGCAGUUAAAAAGCUCGUAGUUGAAUUUCGAGACCGGUUUAUUGGUCGUGCUUUUGUACGUACUGGUAUUAUUGGUUUCUCCUUUCUGACGAAUCUUAAUGCCAUUAAUUUGGUGUUUUGGGGAAUCAGGACUGUUACUUUGAAAAAAUUAGAGUGUUUAAAGCAGGCUCACGCUUGAAUACAUUAGCAUGGAAUAACGGAAUAGGACGUUUGAUUCUAUUUUGUUGGUUUCUAGGAUCGACGUAAUGAUUGAUAGGGAUAGUUGGGGGCAUUAGUAUUCAAUUGUCAGAGGUGAAAUUCUUGGAUUUAUUGAAGACUAACUACUGCGAAAGCAUUUGCCAAGGAUGUUUUCAUUAAUCAAGAACGAAAGUUAGGGGAUCGAAGACGAUCAGAUACCGUCGUAGUCUUAACCAUAAACUAUGCCGACUAGGGAUCGGAUGAUGUUAAUUUUUUAAUGACUCAUUCGGCGCCUUACG
rnacentral:rRNA from 1 species